rnacentral:rRNA from 1 species
AAUUUUGGACAAUGGGGGAAACCCUGAUCCAGCCAUCCCGCGUGUAUGAUGAAGGCCUUAGGGUUGUAAAGCUCUUUUGGCGGGGACGAUAUUUACGGUACCCGCAGAAUAAGCCCCGGCUAUCUUCGUGCCAGCAGCCGCGGUAAUACGAAGGGGGCUAGCGUUGUUCUGAAUCACUGGGCGUAAAGACCACGUAGGCGGACUUGUUAGUCAGGGGUGAAAUCCCGGGGCUCAACCUCGGAACUGCCUUUGAAACUGCAAGUCUUGAGUCCGAGAGAGGUGAGUGGAAUUCCUAGUGUAGAGGUGAAAUUCGUAGAUAUUAGGAAGAACACCAGUGGCGAAGGCGGCUCACUGGCUCGGUACUGACGCUGAGGUGCGAAAGCGUGGGGAGCAAACA